rnacentral:rRNA from 1 species
UGCAAGUCGAACGCCCCGCAAGGGGAGUGGCAGACGGGUGAGUAACGCGUGGGAACAUACCCUUUCCUGCGGAAUAGCUCCGGGAAACUGGAAUUAAUACCGCAUACGCCCUACGGGGGAAAGAUUUAUCGGGGAAGGAUUGGCCCGCGUUGGAUUAGCUAGUUGGUGGGGUAAAGGCCUACCAAGGCGACGAUCCAUAGCUGGUCUGAGAGGAUGAUCAGCCACAUUGGGACUGAGACACGGCCCAAACUCCUACGGGAGGCAGCAGUGGGGAAUAUUGGACAAUGGGCGCAAGCCUGA